rnacentral:tRNA from 1 species
GGGGCUUUAGCUCAGUGGUAGAGCACUUGCCUAGCAAGCGCAAGGCCCUGGGUUCGGUCCCCAGCUCCG